CACAGACAUUGUUUAAAAUGGCUGCGUUAAAAAUACCAUCUCGGCUUCACAGAUUUCUGGAGCUGUGAGGAGCAUCCUCAUUUAUGUGCUCUGAUGAAGGUUUGGGCCCUCAUGGGUGACAGAAAAGUACCAGAGUUCUGGUUCCUCUUUGAACACACAUGUUCUCUGGGUUUCGCCUUGCAGCCCAAGAAGAGAGGAGGCUUGGAAUCACCACACUUCCCACAGCAAGGGCAAUCUUUAAAGGCAGUAAGGUGUGACGCUCCAGACUGGCAGCUUGGCAAGACAGAGCCCAUGGAUACCAGCACACGGGAAUCUGGACGGCUCACUCUGACAGCAGUCAGCACUGGGAACAAAAGGAAUGGAGGGAAAAAAGCGCAAAUGUAUUUUUACAUAUUGUAGGCAUAUGGCCACAAGACCAGCAGAAAUAUAUUUAAUUACCAAUUGCACGCAUUGAGGAGAAAAACACUGGAAAUGGGGGAAAAACUGUAUACACAGCAAUAUUAUUCUAAUUUAACUUUUCACCUCAGUUUUUUUUUUCUUUCUUUAAUUGAAAAUGGAAGGGAAUGUGGGUUGGAAUCGCAAAGGGUUAUCUUCUGGAAUUCUAUCAAAGGUGAUGUGGGAUUUUGACAUGCCUUCUUUAACAGCAUAACAUUAUAGAAAGAAAUAGGAAAGUUUUCUUUUAGUUAUUUUAAUUAUGAAAUAAUUUGACCAAGGCGUUUUGGGGGAGUGGGGCAGACCGGAUUUGAAAUAUAACAGUUAGACAAUCUUACUGUCAUGUUAAAACUGUACUUUUGAUGUUACACAUUAGGCCUCAACAAUUAAUAACCUAAUCUUGAAAAAUUAUAUUCUUGUUCUUUUCUAUGAAAGCAGAAUACUUCAACCCCAUUUAUUGUCAGGUAUUGUCCUAGCCAGUGGAGGUACAGAGGUGAAUCAGAUGUCAUCCCUGCACUGAAGAAGCAUAGCCUAGGCUGGGAGACAAAUACACAUAUAUAUAAUUAUAAUGUUAUACCAUUAAAUUAUUAAAUAUGUGAAAAUUAUCAUUAGCUAAAAUCACAAUUAUAAUACACAUAAUACCAUCUAUAUAAGGCAAUGAUGUAGCUAUAUGAAUCCAGGGGCCAUAGAGGAUUGACUCUUAGUUCAGUCUGGGUGUCAGUCACACUGGAGGACCAGGGAGGAGACCUCUUCCAGGAAAAGCUGAUGAAAAGGAUCAGUGAGAAAAAGCCCGGGAAGAAGGCAGUUGCAUUUUGCAGAAUGAAGGAGUUUGGGCCAGUGUGAGCCAGCUCCCUUCCUAGGGUGCCGGCUCAGGGAGUCAGGUAAUGGGGCCAGGGAAACGUGUGCCCACUGACUUGGGAAAGAGAGAGGGGCCCAUACCUCCUUCUUGGCAGGAAAGAAAAUCACAGCCCCGAAAAAGUAACUUGCCAGGAGCCCCCUUCUUUGUAGCAUUCCUAUCACUGACUUCCUGUUAGCCUGGGUCUCCUGUUCUCACCCUGCUCUUUGAAAUCCUUGGUGGCCAGUGCCGGCUAUGUAGGUGACCUGUGCUCCCUGGUCCCAUGGAGGUUCUGCCCAGCUGACCAGCCUUGCAGUCUGUUUCUGCAGCCCAGAUAAUGGUUCAGAGGCAUGUUAAUGUGUGCUUUGCUUUAUGUAGCAAAUAUCAUCUUGAAAAGUUUUUUUGUACAUUUACUUUUUUUUUGUAAAGCGACCUACAUAAUAAAAGCACUAGGGGAGCUGGUUAUUUAAAGGAACCCUGUAGUGAAUCUUUUCAUAAUGUAGAAGCCAUUCCUUAAUUAAUCUUUGUUUUUCAUCAGACAUACCUGUGCCUCUGUGGCUUUUCUUUUUUUUUUUUUCUAAGAGGAAGCGGCCUAGGCUAUAGUGCCAAGUGCGUGAGACUGAGGGCCAGGGCUUCCAGAGCGCAUGCUGAGCUGUUGCUGGCUGCCACUGGGUUGAGGAUGUGAGCAUAACCUUGGGGUCAGUUCUAUCUUCUGACAAAGGCACAAUCAAAUGGGCUUAGGUUCAAAUCCGGGUUUUACCAUCCAUCGACUUCAUUUGGCAAUUCACUUGUUUCCUUGAAUGUUAGUUCUUUACCCAUGUACUGGGUGGUUACAUACGUCAAAUCAAAAAGUUUCUCCGAGGGCCUGGCAUCAUAGCUAUGACUAAGGGUUUGCUUGCCCCCACUCCAAUUCUACUCUGCUCCACUCUGCAACAGCCCCUUGGAGCAAGAGCCACAGCUGGACUUGUUGGGAGGAAAUACUUGUUAACUUGGGACCUCCCUGCAACUGUUUCCUCAGAGGAGAGGAAAUGCCCACUCUACUCCCCAGGAGGAAGGUGGAUAAAAGACAAUAUUUUAGACUAUUCUUUACCCCUGGUUACCCAUGGUAAAAAGUGAUUGAUCUUAAUAGUAAAGUUUCAGAUACAGCCAUCUUGGGCAGGUCUGUACAUUCAAGUAUGGUAGUAUGGGCUGCCCUCCCCCACCGCCACACCCUCAGACAGGCCCAUAUGUUUUAAAUUGAUCCAAAUCUGCUCUUUUUUUCCAUAUCUGAGCCCACCCCUGUGGCUCUUCAGGAGCUUUUGGUCUGAGCAAGGGUCCCACAGCCUCCCCUGAUCCUGUUUCAUCAGUUAUAAACCUGUUGGAACAUUGUGUCUGCUCAGCUUGCUAGAACUUUUUACCUCCCUAUCCUCUAGCUGCUGGGGAGGGCAGACACCUGCUUGGCACCACACAUGCUUUCCGGUCAUCUGGUCACCUGUGGGCCUGCAGCUAGGGUGGUGGUUGUGGCUGGAGCUUAGAGCCACAUCCAGUGAGGGUCACAGAGCUCCUCAGAGAAGUGCUGGGAGUGAGACUCCAACCCGCCCCAGCACUGAGGUGGGGUUGAGGGAUGUGGCUGAAUGACCAAGGGGAUGGCCAUAGACUCUAUCCAGGAAGAGAAAUCCCAAGGGCAGGCAGGUUAACCUGUCCCCACAAACUCAUGUCCAGGCCCUGGGGUUCCCAACCCUGACUGAUGAGAACCGACAGCUAUACCCUUUUGGUUGGCAUUUCUGAGAAUUGCGUGGACAAUUCUCUUCUCUUUUCUUACUGAAGGAAGGACAGAUAUAGAGGUGGUUCUAACUCUGGUGCUGGUAUAUUUGUGACUAUCACUGGGAUCAUAUUACCAGAGUAAGUUUGACCAAUUUGGAGAAUUGGCCUUGGAGAGGUCAACACUUAAGAGAAAGGCCAAGGCCAUGGCCUGGCUCAAAUGGAUCCCAUUUCUUGCACAUGAGUUACACUGACUCAGUUAUUGGAGAGCCCUCUUGUGCUUGGGUAGGAAUUUGAAAUGUUGAAGUAGUCAUGGGUUAGGGACCUGCUGCUAAUGACCCUCCUGUAACCCAAACUUAAGAUACUUCUGGAAAAUAGACUACAUCAGAAGACUUCUAAGGUCCCUCAUUCACUCAUUCAUCUAUUCUUUUAUCUGGGAUUUAUCAGGGACCUACCAUGUACCAGGUUCUAUACCACCUGUUGGAGAAACAAUGGUGAAUGAGUCCCUGCACUUCCAAGGCUUGCAGUCCAGUAGUAGAGAGGCAAGUGAAGACAAUUAACUCGGUAUGAGAAGCACAAAAGAUAGAUAGGGGAGCACAGACCAGGGACAGCACACCCAGUUUAGAGGGACUGGGAAACAUUUCUGGAGAAAAUGAUCAGUAAUGUUAGGUGUUUUUGUCCAGGAAAGGCUGAGGGGGGUGACAACACCCUUCCAAGAAGGCUUGCACUGUGAACAACACUGAAGUGACUUGCCCAGGGGCACUCUAUAAGUAGCAGAGCCUGGAUUGUUCAAAAGUGAAACCCUACGUUCUUAGUCACGUUGCUCCACUGUCAAUAUUGAAAUGAUUAUUCAAGAGGCCCAACUAUUGAUUAUAAACAAUAGUGCAUUGCAGAUCUGGCUGCUUUCUUGGCCAUGUGGGGCUUUGAGCUCUAGCCCCUAAAUCAGCAGAGAAAACACAAUCCAGCCACAGAUGGUGGCUCACACCUGUAAUCCUAGCACUUUGGGAGGCUAAGGCGGGUGGAUCACCUGAGGUCAGGAGUUCGACACCAGCCUGGCCAACAUGGUGAAACCCGUCUCUACUAAAAAUACAAAAAAAUUAGCUGAGCGUUGUGGCAGGCACCUGUAAGUCUCAGCUACUUGGGAGGCUGAGGCAGGAGAAUCGCUUGAACCCAAGAGACAGAAGUUGAAGUGAGCAGAGAUUGCACCACUGCACUCUAGUCUGGGUGACAGAGUGAGACUCUGAAAAAAAAAAGAAGGAAGAAAGGAAGGAAGGGAGAAAGGAAAGAGAGAAAAGAAAGAAAGAAAAAGAAAGAGGGAAGAAAGAAAAAGAAAGGAAAGAAAAAGAAAGAAAAGAAAAAGAAAGAAAAAAGAAAGAAAAAGAAAGAAAGAAAAAGAAAGGAAGAAAGAAAGGAAGAAGAGAAGAAAGGAAGAAAGAAAGGAAAGAAAGAAAGAAAGAAAGAAAGAAAGAAAGAAAGAAAGAAAGAAAAAGAAAGAAAGAAAGAGAAAGAAAGAAAAAGAAAACACAAUCCAAACUAUUGAGUAGUCAGGGGAGUUAGGCAGGAACAAUACCGAUGUUGUCUGGACCCUGAAUAACAUAUUCCAAACAACUUUCUCAUUGCCUAAGUAAGUCGAAAGUACUGUUUUGCAAUUUGGUUGCAGUGUGCAAGUUUGGUUGAUUUCAUGUGUCUUAAAGAAUUAUGCUCUGUAGACACCAUGUGAUUACUUUUUAAAGUGAAGUGAAGUAAGAGUGAUACUUAAUAUCACAGUAUUAGGGCAAUGCCUUUAUAAAUUAGAUGCCUACUUUAAAAUUUAUAAAAUUGUGGCACCAAAUAUAUGUACAGUCAACCUGCUGUAUCUGGAGGUUCCACGUCUGUGGAUUCAACUAAUCAUGGAUUGAAAACAUUUUUACAAGAUGGCUGGUCAUGUCUGUCCUGAACAUGUAUGAAAUUUUUUAUUGUUAUUCCCUAAACAAUAUAGUAUAGCAACUAUUUACAUAACAUUUACACUGUAUUAGGCAUUACAAAUAAUUUAGAGAUGAUUUAAAGUAUACAGGAGGUUGUGCAUAGGUUGUAUGCAAAUACCAUGCCAUUAUACAUGAGAGACUUAAGCAUCUGUGGAGUUUGAUAUUAGCAGUAGGUCCUGGAAUCAAUCCUCCAGUGAUACUAAGGGAUAACUGUAUAUUCAUAUUCUGUCUCCUGGAAAGAUAUAAAAUGUCUCACAACAAAAGUAAUUUUUUUUAAAAAUUAAGAUUCAAGGAAGUAACACUAGGAAGUUCAAUUUGAAUGGAAUAUACAUAAAAUUUAUUUCUGGGUUCCCUGGGAGCCAAAGCAAAAAGGGAAACAUGAAAAAAAUGCAUAAUUUUUUUUUAUCAAAAAGGAGAAAGCAGAUUCACUCCCCCUGGAAAAAAAAGUGUUUGCAAAGACAAAAAUUCUAAAAAUAGUAAUUUAACAUAGACUUAACCUUUGGAAGAAAGAAGAAACAAUUCAAGGUGUUUGUAAUGUAAUGGAUUAUCAUAUAAUCAAGAACUAUGAUGAAAUAGAGAACACUCUUUCCUUUAAACCUAGAACAGAGAAAGAAUUCCUAUCAGAGAACUAUUAAUGGAAAGUCAGAACCACUAGGCUCUGAUGUGCAGAUCUAGGUUCAAAAUGCAGCGCUUAUUUAUCUAUUUAGUUAUGUGUUUAUGAGGCAACUAUUUGUUGAUUACCUAGUCUGUGCCAUUCAUGUUUCUAGGGCUGUGAUGGAGUGAUGAAAAAGAAAAAGUCCCUGCUCAUAAUUCACAUAAUGACUCCAGCACAUUAAUAUAAAAUUUUACAGUUUUAAUUGUCACAUGAUGUGUGAUGGAUGAAUUAUGAGUUAAUCAACUUACAUGAUACUUUAUGGUUUGCAAAAUGUUUUCACACAUCAUUACAACCCAAAUCUCCUUGCAGAAGCAUGGGGACAUUCUAGACAUAGCUCAACAUUCAAAUUUGGACUAAUGCUCCUGGUUAAGGAGUCUUGAUAUAUCAUGAAAGUAUUGGUUGUGCUUAUAUUUUUCCAUUAAAAAGGAUAUGCUUAAGAGCCCAUUUCAGUAAUUAGGAAGAAAGUUAGCUAGCAAAUGCCACAAGAGACUUUAACAUACCUUGAUGUGCUUAAGAGUUGAACAUUGCACUCAGUGACACUUAGUUUAAUGAAUAUCACAAUUUUCUUCACAUCCCAUGAAGCAUUGCAGGACUUUUGGCAAAAUGUGAGGUCCUUCUGCUAGGCACAGCUAGGAAAUACUAAUAACUGUUAAAUGAGAACCUCUUGUUCCUAUCUUAAGGCAAUGACAUCAUUCAUAUGGUUCACUCAGCCUCUCAGGCCUUUUAUUCUCCUCCUUCAGCAUGCCUAUUGCAUACAAUAGGUAAAGAAUUCUCCUUCUUUUCCAGUUAAUUAACCCACCUGCUAAUAAUACUCUUCUGUCCUUGAUUGAUUCAGAGCAACCUCCAGCUGUCAGCCUCCUAUCUAGUCAGAAGCUUUUGAUGAUGAAAAUGGAGUCCAUAAGAAAGAAAUGGGCUACAAAUAUUAAGUGCAGGCAGGCAAGGUGCAAGUAGGGUGAUAUCUUAUCCCAGUUUGCCCAGAAUUUUAUGCUUUUAGUGCUGAAGAUCCCAAGUCCUGGGAACCCACUAAAUAGGACUAGGAAUUGUUCCCCUAAGUGCAGGGAAUCAUCUCUAUAGUCAAACAGCAACAAAUGAGUAAACAUGAGGGGGCAGGUAACAGCAGAUGUUUUAGUUUGGAUUCCUCCAAUAGCAGGCUCUAAGUCUAGGAUUCCAUGCAAGUGGUUUACUGGGAGAUGAUCCUAGGAAACAGUGGUAGGGGAGAAGAGAAAUGAGAUAGGAAAGCAAUUGCCACUGUGGGCAUCUGGAACCUAUUCCUACUGAGAAACACUGAGAGUAGUGCAAUACAUGUGCCUUUGAGCCAUGCUGCCUGAGGGGAAUUGGAGUUGGGGUAACUACCAGUUGUUAGUUGAAGUCUGUUCUUAGUGGUGGAGGCGGAGUUUGCUAAUUGUGCCUGCUGAGCCUAUGGGCAGAGUGGACCUCAAUUUUCCGAGAAAGUUCUCCAACCAAAAGAUGCAGAUGCUGCAGGUAGAAGCUGUGCUAUAUUGCACACUGAAAUGGUAAGGUAGGACAGUGAUGAUGCUGUUACAAUGGGUCUACAUUGUUUUCCAGGUCAACUCAUUCUACAGCACUGACUGGCUAACUCUUCCCUGUGUGGACACAGCUUCUUUGGUAAUAUAAGAAAAAAACAUGUGUGCUAGAUAUGGGGGAGAGUAAGGAUUUGAGUGGAUAUUUGAAAGGCAGAUGAGUUUGAUGCCUUGGAAUCAUGCCUAAUAUAUGUUCUUUUCAUUCGUGAUUAUCAUAUAGCCAAACUAUAGAUAUGUGGGAUUAGUAGUCUCCAAUAAGGCCACUUCCAAGUAGUCUUCCAAGUAGCCUUCAAUCAUACCACUUCAGGCAUUAAUUCUAUUAGUCUGAAUGAUUUGGGCAGAUGAGACUUUUGAACACCACUUGGUCUUACCAUGGCUUAUGAGGCCUCAUUAUCAUAAAAAGUAGACUUGUUCUUUCACUUAUAUCUUUCUCUGAGCCAUUAUAAACCAUUUUAUUAUUUCUGUCUUUGAGCUGAACAAAGUUGUCUCUCAGGUCUCCUAUAGAAAUAUCUAGAACAUGACCUCCUUCUGAAGUUUGUAAUGUAUUCAGAGUGGAAUGCGAUGGUAAGCUGUGCACCUGGGUAUACAAGCAAGGUACUUGGAGUUGAUGGGUGAGCUACAUUCAGCCUCAUUCAGCCCUGAAGACCAAGAUUGUUCAUCUUCCAGCUGACCUGACAAGCACCUCUGCCAAAUAGAGAUUAUUGAAUCUGGAUAGACGCUGAAGAGUCAAUCAGAUUGUUGUUCAAGGAGUUUAGCAAAGACAAUUGGUGAACAGAAGCCAUAUGUAAUUAAAAGCCUCACUGUAGGGAGAGACCAGUGUGAGAAUUGCUUGGUUGUGGUGGAGAGAUCUUAGGCACAAAUGCAGAGCAGUUGUGUGGAGCUGUGGUCAUGACAGACGGUCUUUGGAAUGAGAAGCAAUGUUUCCCUGCCAUGGAGAGGAAAAGGAAACCAGGUGGCUCAACCUGGCUUGUGUCUUAAAAGUCAACCCAGCAUCUAUGAGUCUGCCUCUGAAGCUAUUGGGACACUCUUCUGUAUUCUUCAGUUCCCACGUGCAGCCUUAUGAGAAAUAGUUAAUUGUCUCCACCAACCCGAAAUAACCCAACUAACGUAUCUUUUAAGUAUUUGAAAUCACCACUCACCUGUCUCUGACUUAGGCUAAACAAUUUUAAUUCCAUUAUUUUUUAUUUUUACCAUUUAAACAUUAGUUUAAUUUUAAUUUUUUUUUUUCGGAGAUGGGGUCUUACUCUGUCGCCCAGGGCUGGAGUGCAGUUGCACAUGGCUCACUGCAGCCUCAACCUCCUGUGUUUAAGCGAUCCUCCCUACCUCUAGCCUCCUGAGAAGCUGGGACCACAGGCAUGUGCCAGCAUGCCCUGCUAAUUUUUACUUUUUUAUUUUUGUAGAGAUGCAGCCUCCUUAUGUUGCCCAGGGCUGGUCUCAAACUCCUGGGCUCAAGUGAUUCUCCUGCCUCGGCCUCCCAAAGUGCUGGGAUUAUAGGCAUGAGCCACUGCACCUGGCCUUAUUUUGAAUUUGAAGACUUAUACAUUCAAUUCAGCCUCUUCAAGUCCUCCUACCUAGGAGGCACUGGGGAGUAGACUAGCAUGAGAUAUGAGACUUAGGGUCAGAAAUACAUAGAUUCCAAGCUUGGCCCAGCAGUCCACUUUAAAUGUGCAUAUGGGCAAGCUACUUAACUUCUCUGAAGCUUAAAUGAGAAUUAUAUUUAUAAUUAACAAUAUUAUUAUUACCCCCACAAAAAAUAAGAUACGUGAAAAUCUUUUUCUCUACCCUUCCUUGCCCUCAGAUAUAUUCUAUGAAAGACUGAGAUUUGUUAUCUUAUAAAAUAGAAUCUAAUAAAGAAAAUAAAAGAGUAGGAAUUAAAAACAUGAUAAAUGGAGAAUAAUAAGUGAAGAAAGCCAAUAUUAUUUGAGCUACAAACUUAAUAGUGAGCUUCUUGGAAAUGAACAAAAGCAAAAUGCAAUAGUCACAUCCUACUCUAAUAAAAUGAAAUAUAAAAUUUUAUAAAGUAAGAAAUAUGAUUUUUAGUUUACCUGUAAUGUGAAUUGUUACAUUGGUUCUGUUUUAAGAGACAUUGAAACAGACAGCAGAAAUUUUAUAGUAGACAGAGAAAGGACCUCUGUAUCCUAUUUCUUUUAUUAACUGCAAAUUAAAAGCUAUGCAUGUAGAGUUGUGUUGGAGGUUUCUUGAAGGUAUUUUCAUAGACAGAUGAGAGAAGAUAUAGCCAAGGUAGCCAAGACAUGUUUUUUCUUUUCUUUUCUUUUCUUUUUUCUUUUUUCUUUUUGGGCGACAGGUUCUCACUCUGUUGCCCAGGCUGGAGUGCAGUGGCGCGAUCAUAGCUCACUGCAGCCUCAACAUCCUGAGCUCAAGCCAUCUUCCCAUGCAAGCCCCCCAGUAGCUGGGACUACAGGCAUGUGCCAGCACACCUGGCUAAUUUUUUAUUUUUAGUUUUUGUAGAGACGAGGUCUCACUACGUUGCCCAAGCUAGUCGUGAACUCCUGGACUCAAGGGAUCCUCCCACCUCAGUCUCCCAAAGUGUUGGAAUUACAGGCAUGAGCCACUUCCUGGCCAAGGCAUGUGUUUUCUAAUAAAAGUGAAUAAAUGUAGCAACACAGCAUGAAGGAUCUAGAGUAAUUGUUUAUGUCCUUUCUCUGUUUUCAAAUAUGAAUUGCCUUGGUUUAUUUUCAUAUUGCACUAGCUUCCUAACUGGUCUCCUUGCUGCAAUCUUGCAUGCCGUGAGUCUUUUCUCUAUGAGGCAGCCAGGACAAUAUUUCUAUUUUGUUGUGUCACUUGCUGGUUUUAAGCUAUUUCUACGGUCCACUCCUAAAUUCUUGAAGUUUUUCAGAUAUGCCAUGUAGUUCCCCCUUUGCACAUUCUCCUUUUCCUGGAAUACCAUCGCUAUUGUCAACUAGAUUGCCAGGUUAAUAUAAUCCUUUGGAAGUCAGAUCAGACAUCGCUACUUCUAGAAAAACUUAACCACCCCAACCUUGUCUGAAUUUGUUUCCUCUCCUCUGUGUUCUUAAGCAUUCUACUACACAGUAUUGUUAUUUUGUAUUUACCUGUCUAUAAGUCAGAGGCACCAUUGUCAGAUCUUCAUCAAGCCUUCUGUGUUGGCAGAGUCCUGUUAUAUAGGAGGGGCUUAAUACAUAUUUCUUAAGUGAGCGAAUGACUUAGUAGGAGCUGGCUUUCAAACCAAUAGUCAAUGUCAUGUUAAUAACCAAUGAACAUUUUCCCAAAGUAUGUUUCAGAAAACACUGCUUCUGAGAAAUAUUAUAGGUGUCCUGGACAGAACACUUCCAUAGUUAAGGAAGUAGAAAAUGCUGCAUGUUCUAUCUCUCCAAAAAGUCGCUAUUUUCAUUAGAAUAUUAAAGGCUCUGGCAUGUUUUUCAAUUAAUAAACUUAUUUACUAUAUAUUUUUCUUACUUUUGUGUGUGUGUGAUUGUGUAGUACCUGUUGGAACUAAUUACUUACGACAAAAACAGCUUGAAAAACCUUGCUCUGCAGGCUUUACUUAAAAUUCGGAAAUCAGAUCAAGCACUGUAGCUC
rnacentral:lncRNA from 10 species